UAAUCGGUCCCAGAAGAGGCAGUAGCUCCAAGUUUGCCCAACUGGGCAGAGGAUCUUCCUCCCAUCACCACUGGAGGCUGAGGAUCCUGUGAUCCAGCCUGAGCACUUCUGCAGCACCCCUCUGGCAUCUAUAUGCUUUCCUCCUCAGAGGCCGAGGUCUCCCCAGUCCCAGUCUCAGCACAUUCCUCCUUUUCCUUUUCUCCCGUGUAGUUUUGUUCUCCCUUUGCUCCCUGCCUGAGAUGGGGGAGCUUGCAGCAGCCAGUGCAAGCCCCCUUGGCCACUGCCAGGUGCAAAGCACAGAGAGAGCUCAGCUUGCCCUCACAUCUCCACUUCGGGGCACAGAUAAAUCCGCGGAGUUGCCAGUCAGCAAACGCCAGCUUCUCGCUCGGCACGAGCGACCCAGGAGCUUCAGAAGCUUAAAAUAUUGCACAACUUGGAAGAAAUUAUCACUGGGAAAAUUGCUGCAGCACCCCGGGGAAAUUCAGCUCUCUGCCACAGAGGCGGAGGCAUUCAAGCUUCGCCUUGAAGCGGCUGCAAGAAUUUCUCAAGUUGGCCAUCUUCGUUUUCCAGGACCUCAUUCGGCACGUUGGCUGCAAUCUGCCUAGCCUGGGUUCUGCCUCCAGCUUGCCUUAGUUCUGAAAACUCCAGCUAAAUGCUGACAUGGUUUAUAAGGAAUUAAGGGAAGAUGUUAAAAUGGAAAGAGUUGGGCAAGCCCAGAUAGCUUUGGAGUGCAUGGCACAGCGAGAUCCUCCUCAGUGGGGACUAGGCUCCCUUGUACUGCUAGGCAUGGCACAGAUGGGAUACGGGCACAGCAGGAUGCUCCUGUCCCAGCUCUGACCAAGCACAGCAAAUAACGGGGUGCAGUACUCCCAAAUCUGCUCCCCAGUGCAUUGUUCUGCAGGGAUGUGCUGGGCAGCAGCUAAAGGGGACCUUUCCAGCUCACCACUGUGUCCAGAUCCCUUUCACAUUCAGGCUUCAGCCCUCAGAGGAUGAAUUGCACCACAUCACUGAGCCCAUGGCAAGGUCCCCCUCUGCUCUUCCCUCGCAAAGAAUGAAAUAACCUGGAAGUUGUUGGUUUCUGGAAGCAAUUUAGCGUGGGACGUGGCUAUUAAUUUAAAUAGAUUACAGAAAUUUGAACUAAGCUGUGUAUAAAUCUUCUGACCAGCUCUUUGGGCUUUGGUCUCUGUUGUUUACACUUUAUAUUUUUUUCUUUUAAGAACCAAAACCUGUGCUUUAUUGAUUCCUGAAGCAGUGAUUUUUAGGUGGGAGCUCGCUGCUGCCUUUCUGGGCGUGCAUGGCAGGGCAGCUUUUCUCUUCCACACGUAUCACCUUUCAGAGCUACUGUGAGUAGGGUGCAGAUGUUGUUAGGUCUCAGGUAAAGCCAUCAAAGGUGGACAUUCAAUCAAAUUUGACAUCAUCUUCAACCUGAAGGCAAAUGGGUUGGUUUUGAUUAGCAGCUCAUGGGGCUGAGCCUAACCCAUAUCAGAGCUGCUGUUGCUACUUUACCUGAAUGGCAAAACCACAGAUGGUAAUUAUAAUGAUAAGUGCUUACAGAUUUCCCAACAACAAAGAUAAUUUGUUUGCUCCAUGCCUUGUUAGAAGAGGAAUUUUGUUCUGGUGACUGGGUGGUUUGUGAAUCAGUUGUUGCCCUUUCACCCCUCCAUCCCCAGCUUGGCUGUUCCCCCCAGCACAGCUAUUAGACAUUGAUCCAACAAGAAGGGUCCUGCCGAGUCUGGUCUCCUCCACAGUGGCCAUCGAGACGCCAGCCCAGUGAAAGGAGCCAUCCUGGUCUGGCAGGGAGGAGGAUGCUGUUCUAGAAUGGCUUGGAAUGUUGGGCAGGGGAGUCCUCCUAAGUCCCUCAGCUCCUAACCCCUGCUCAUGCGCACAGCUUCUGGGGUGAAAACUUGCCGCAAGGCUGCCUUUGAGUUGCUGGACUGCUGCUGCUGAUGCACAGCAGGGUAAAACUCAGCCGUGUUCCCAGUGCCCAAGCCAUCAUCUCGCUGAGGGAUGAUGAGGUAACAUGUGAGUGGCCAGGUUUGCACCUCUUGCUCCUGGAGCCACUGCCAAAACCUGCAGCUUUCCUCCCACUGAAGGUGACUGAGUGGCCAAAGUCCUGGGAGGAAAAAGGGAGAGCUUGUCACUGCUGCUCUCUGACAGCCCGAGGUCUCUCUCCACCCCGCAGUUGCUCUCCAGCACUGGAGGUGGGUUACCUGUAAAUUAAACCAGCUGGUGCCAGGGGCUGAGGGCUCACCAGCAACCCUGGCCCUUGUCCACAGCCUUCCCCCAGGCAGAAAUCCCACAGGCCGUCUUGGACCCCGGCUUGGCUGCAACUGAGAGCAGCAUCUUGCUUGUCCUGUGGGCAGGCAGAUAACAGCUUUGAUUUCUGGGUCUCAUUUUAAUUACAAUGGGAAGACAAAGCUCGUUUAAGUGCCCGCUUUGCCUUCCAGUGAUCCUUCCUGGCUGGCAAGUGCACUGGGCUAACAAAAGCAUUCCUCUCUCCCCCCCCCCCCACCCCGGGGCCGGCCGCGGCAGCCCGUAUGGCGAGCAGACGGAGGCGAUUAAUGCGCACAAGACCAGCCUGCCCAGCUCCCAGUCUCUGCGCACAACCUGACACCCCAAGCAGCCUCUCUGCAAGGAGAAACUACCCUUGAAACAUAGACGUCCUCCACAAAGCACCCAUACGCCAGCUCAUUUUUGCCUCCCUACCCAGUACCGGCAGAAUACCUGCAGGGUCUUGUCCCAGAGCAUGUUUCUCUUCUCCCACAGCUCAGAUCAGAUGAUUUUUUUCCCGGCCAAUAGUACCCAGAGUUGUUCAAGAAGGUGAUAUCGAUCUUGUUCAUAUUUGUUGCCUUAAUGAGUCACAAAUUCUGUCUGCAAGCAGAGGUGGUUUGGAGGUGCCGGCUGGCUGCUGCUAACCUGCCUUUCUGGAAGGGUAGGAAUUCCAGCAGAUUCGGAGAACUGGUGUUUUCUUAUAUUCCUAAAGGAAAUUACACUAAUUGCAACAAUCCCCAUGUCCCUGCAGAGAGCAGAUGCGAUAGGAUCUCCCCAAAUACCUGCUCCUGAUAACAGUAACCUCCCUACAGCUCUUCUCCUGCCCCACGGCCCUGAAGGAUCUGCAGCGAGUGAUCCUGCCAGACCAAAACGCUUACGGCCCCUUUGACACCAAAUCGUUUCUGUGCUGGUUCAUCUUUUGCUUAACUGAGCUGGCAAAGGCAUCGUCUCCCAUGUGGGCAGGGGACUUGGUGCAUCAGCUGCCGCUGCUCUGAUCUUUGCUGUGGCCAAGAUUUCAUUCUUUGGAAAUGGUUUUAAUAUUCACUACACUAAUAUCCGCGCGCGGGCACGGCGUGCGGGGUCACAGCACAGUGCUGGUGUGGAAUUCAUAUAAAUGCUCCGUGGGGUAUCUCUAAACAAUCAUCCCAUAUUAAUCAGCUUAAUAUUAAUCAGCUUUCUCCUCCACUCAGAUCUAGGAAAGUCCCCUCUCCAGAGGGGGACGUGGUGCUGAUUUAAGGGAUGCAGCCUGCUUCCGGAGCGGUGGAGGGAGCAGGACACUCUGCAUCUCACAUCUCUCAGAUGCUCUUCAAUGGGCUUAAUUUAAACAUUAACUCCCAAUUUGCCUCUGGGCUCAGGGUAUGGAAAAAAUUAGAGCAAAAGGAGAAUUUUUCAAGAAGCUUUGAGUGAACAAAGUAGGGUUAUAAUAGAAAUAGUUUUUGACCUUAAUUAUGGCUUCUAAUGGAAAUGGUUGUGCAACCUCAGCAGUGGGAUUUGGUAUGCGCAGGCAGAUCUGAGCUGAGGAUGAUGAUAGGAGGACAGCAAGGCCUUGGUGGCCUCAGUUGUUCUUUCAUAGAAGGGUUUCAGAGAGCAGGGUUGAGGCUGGUGAGGUGAAUGUUCCUCAUUUCUACCAGCUGCAGCUCUGAUUUGCUCCAUCCAGAGCUAAAGUUUCACCUUGUUUCUGCUUUGGACAAGAAUAUAAAUGGCCUCAAGUACCUCAUCACUGCCAGUGGGAUGUGCAGCUGGGUACCCAGCACCUUUGGACAGAAGAGCAGGGAAAGUCUGUCAUUACUUACUGAGGUCAGCAUGGCAAGUCCCAGCACAAAGUCAGCAUGGCUUGCCCUGCCUCUCUCCUCCAAGGAAGCAGUUCUCUGCUGUAUACAGCAAUACAACAAACUCCAGCACUGCUCUCCAGGGAUAAGCGAUGCUGAUGAGAACUGCUGAAAUACUCUUUUGAAGCAUCCAGAUUGCAAAAUAAUGAUGUGGUGUUAGCCAGAGGUGGGAGUGGGAUGGAAUAAUUACAGAAGAGGAAGCACAUCACUUUUAUUACUGAGUCCAGCCUUCUUGCUCUGGAAACCUGCUAUAAUGGGUCACUUGCCACCACCUGGGAGUAAUGACAUGUGGAA